rnacentral:lncRNA from 1 species
CUCGGGUUGACAACGGCUAAGCAGCCGCGGCAGCUGCUCUUCUGGCUGGCACCGUCACCCCUGCCCGACCCCAGGCCCCGCGUGUGUCCCGGACGGAGCAGUCCCUCCUGGGCUCGCCUCCUGCCCGCUCGCUCUGUGUCAGCGCCCGAACCCAAAGGGGUGGACGCGGCCUCCAGAAGCCGAGGCCAAAAGAGCAUGUGAGUGGCUUCGAGCAACAGGAUUCCCUCAGUAUGUGCAGCUUUUUGAAGAAGGUUCGUUUCCCCUGGAUAUUGGCUCUGUGAAGAAAAACCACGGUUUUCUGGACGAGGACUCUUUGGGGGCCCUGUGUAGGUAGGUGGGCUGAGGGCCAGGCCUGGGAAGCCAAAGGCCUGGCUUGAAGCUUCCUCGUGGAAAAAAACAUCCCUUGUACCCUCUAACAGAGGAGGAGCCCAGCUUACUAACAAAGCUCAUCUUCUGUGGUCACAUUGCUCAUUCUGUUCUUUGUGUUUGUGAUACCCUCAACCACCCAGGCACUCUAGCUAGAAAGCCAAGAUCUGGCCUUGUUUCUUUUCUCCUAAAGUUAUAGCCCCCAAAUAUUCCUCUGCUUCAGUCCCUCUCUACUUACACCAGCUUGGCCCUUGUUUGAGGCCAAACCAUGGCUUCUCCUUGGAUCGA